UUUACCUGUGUGACUGCGUACCUUUUGUAUAAUGGGUCAGCGACUUAUAUUCUGUAGCAAGGUUAACCGUAUAGGGGAGCCGGAGGGAAACCGAGUCUUAAUUGGGCGUUAAGUUGCAGGGUAUAGACCCGAAACCCGGUGAUCUAGCCAUGGGCAGGUUGAAGGUUGGGUAACACUAACUGGAGGACCGAACCGACUAAUGUUGAAAAAUUAGCGGAUGACCUGUGGCUGGGGGUGAAAGGCCAAUCAAACCGGGAGAUAGCUGGUUCUCCCCGAAAGCUAUUUAGGUAGCGCCUCGUGAAUUCAUCUCCGGGGGUAGAGCACUGUUUCGGCUAGGGGGCCAUCCCGGCUUACCAACCCGAUGCAAACUGCGAAUACCGGAGAAUGUUAUCACGGGAGACACACGGCGGGUGCUAACGUCCGUCGUGAAGAGGGAAACAACCCAGACCGCCAGCUAAGGUCCCAAAGUCAUGGUUAAGUGGGAAACGAUGUGGGAAGGCCCAGACAGCCAGGAUGUUGGCUUAGAAGCAGCCAUCAUUUAAAGAAAGCGUAAUAGCUCACUGGUCGAGUCGGCCUGCGCGGAAGAUGUAACGGGGCUAAACCAUGCACCGAAGCUGCGGCAGCGAACGUAUCACUUAAAGCGAUUCAGCGGGUUACGAUUGACGGAGCGAAGCGACGUCAAAGCGUAUACAAAGUCGAGUCGGUUUAAGGAUACGUUCGUUGGGUAGGGGAGCGUUCUGUAAGCCUGUGAAGGUGUGUCGUGAGGCAUGCUGGAGGUAUCAGAAGUGCGAAUGCUGACAUAAGUAACGAUAAAGCGGGUGAAAAGCCCGCUCGCCGGAAGACCAAGGGUUCCUGUCCAACGUUAAUCGGGGCAGGGUGAGUCGACCCCUAAGGCGAGGCCGAAAGGCGUAGUCGAUGGGAAACGGGUUAAUAUUCCCGUACUUGGUGUUACUGCGAAGGGGGGACGGAGAAGGCUAUGUUGGCCGGGCGACGGUU
rnacentral:rRNA from 1 species